rnacentral:rRNA from 1 species
GGACCCGCACAAGUAGUGGAGCAUGUGGUUUAAUUCGAAGAUACGCGCAGAACCUUACCAACACUUGACAUGUUCGUCGCGACUUUAAGAGAUUAAAGUUUUCGGUUCGGCCGGACGAAACACAGGUGCUGCAUGGCUGUCGUCAGCUCGUGUCGUGAGAUGUUGGUUAAGUCCCGCAACGAGCGCAACCCUCACUUUUAGUUGCCAUCAUUAAGUUGGGUACUCUGAAAGAACUGCCAGUGAUAAGCUGGAGGAAGGUGGGGAUGACGUCAAGUCCUCAUGGCCCUUACGUGUUGGGCUACACACGUGCUACAAUGGCAGUGACAGAGGGACGCUACCAGGUGACUGGAUGCAAU